rnacentral:tRNA from 1 species
GAGAUGUUAGUAAAACUAUUACAAACCCUUGUCAAGGGUUUAUUAUAGGUGAAACCCCUAUGUAUCUCU